AACCUGGCGCCGCGACCAGUGUAUCGGGGGUCUUGGAAAUGGCUAAGAAAGCUGGCCUCUGCCUAGUAGGCUCUCGGCAGGGGGGCUGCCAAUCCCGGGAUGGUUACCGGAAAUGAACCGCGCGAUCUGGCCCUUUCACACCCACUUAGCUUUGUAGGGGGGUUGUAGUCUUUACAGGACAAAAGGGCACCUAUUCCAGAGCACACCCCCUUUUAUUCCUCUCCCUUCUGUGCCUCACUGCUUUCUGAUCUAAUAGUUCUCCCAAAAAAGAACAGCAAGAAGCGAUUGAACACAUUGAUGAAGUACAAAAUGAAAUAGACAGACUUAAUGAACAAGCCAGUGAGGAGAUUUUGAAAGUAGAACAGAAAUAUAACAAACUCCGCCAACCAUUUUUUCAGAAGAGGUCAGAAUUGAUCGCCAAAAUCCCAAAUUUUUGGGUAACAACAUUUGUCAACCAUCCACAAGUGUCUGCACUGCUUGGGGAGGAAGACGAAGAGGCACUGCAUUAUUUGACCAGAGUUGAAGUGACAGAAUUUGAAGAUAUUAAAUCAGGUUACAGAAUAGAUUUUUAUUUUGAUGAAAAUCCUUACUUUGAAAAUAAAGUUCUCUCCAAAGAAUUUCAUCUGAACGAGAGUGGUGAUCCAUCUUCAAAGUCCACCGAAAUCAAAUGGAAAUCUGGAAAGGAUUUGACAAAACGUUCAAGUCAAACGCAGAAUAAAGCCAGCAGGAAGAGGCAGCAUGAGGAACCAGAGAGCUUCUUUACCUGGUUUACUGACCAUUCUGAUGCAGGUGCUGAUGAGUUAGGAGAGGUCAUCAAAGAUGAUAUUUGGCCAAACCCAUUACAGUACUACUUGGUUCCCGAUAUGGAUGAUGAAGAAGGAGAAGGAGAAGAAGAUGAUGAUGAUGAUGAAGAGGAGGAAGGAUUAGAAGAUAUUGAUGAAGAAGGGGAUGAGGAUG
rnacentral:sRNA from 1 species